rnacentral:lncRNA from 1 species
AAAAUAAAAAUAAAAUUCAUUUAUUGAAAAGAAAAAGCUUAACAUACGAUCCAUGUGCAAACCCCAAAACAGGAUCUACGAACUCUGGCAUGAUCCACAUCGCUACACAUACCAUGCUGGAAGUGCACAUCCACACAGGCACGUAACAUACACAGUACUGUCUAGUUAUCAACACCUACAGAUUGGUUGAUUUUUCUUCACACACCAUUGACAUGUUUUACAAUAGAGUUACCAAUUUUAUUAUCCACUGAAAGAGCAUAGCUUCCCCCAGAAUCACUUUGAUUUAAACCAAAUAACACAGUGAAUGACAGGCACCCUGCACCUAUAUCUGCUACCUUCCUUACUCUGAUAACCUCCUACCAGCACCAUUUAUGUCCUCUGGCCAGGGAACGACUCAGUGGCACAAAGGAAAGAGAAGAAAUGUUACAGGCUGAUGCUGUCGGGGCAAAUAGCCCUGCAACCAGCCGGACUUACUGUCUAAAAGUAUUAACCGUAAUUUCAAAGACAAACCACACCCCUUCCUUUUCCCCUAAUGGCCUCAGAGAUUUGUAAUGUACUUUGGAAAAUUAACUUCUAAGGCAGAGUGGAAGCCAACCUCAAGUCCUGCCACUUGGACUCUGUGUCUUCUCUUCGAGGAAGCAGCAUUGUGCACCCAGCAGGGGCAGAUGCUGAGGCUUGCCUUAACAUCUCAGCAGCUACAAAAUGAAAUCCACUGAUACAGAACCCCUUGCUGUGAGCAGUGAGGAGAGAGAGCUGUAAACAGACACAAAUUGAGAUUUUUGCACUUCCAAAAAAUACGAGGUGAACAUUAGUGCUAAACAGAGAGAAUGUUCUAGGAAGGGAGAAAUCUGAGAAGAAAAAGUAAGAUGAGAGAGAAGAAACAUGAUUUUUCUAAUGUACUUGUUUGAGAUCAACACUUUAAGACUACUGAUAAAACUAAAUUUCGUGGGGAUAGACAGUGAGCAGUGAGCAUCAGCCAGUGAAUCUGGCUGCAGAGGAGAGAUGGAAUUGGGCGGCUGAAGUGAAAUGAUGCCACACAUUCACACAUAUCUAGCCAGGGCUUGUGCAGAUGAAGGGAUCUUAGCAGCUGGACAGCAGCACAACAUAAAUAAUGCCACUUGUGAAUGGUGACAACUGCUAGGCAGGGUGAACAGAAGACGCCAGC